AACGAACGCUGGCGGCGUGCCUAAAACAUGCAAGUCGAACGAGGAAGUGGGCAACCAUGAGUAAAGUGGCGCACGGGUGAGUAACACGUGGAUAACCUACCUUUAGGACUGGGAUAACAAGCUGAAAGGCUUGCUAAUACCGGAUGAAGUUAUUGGGACAUUGGGGUUCUGAUAAUGAAAACGGGUCUCUGUUUACAAGCUACGGCCUAAAGAGGGGUCUGCGUCCCAUUAGUUAGUUGGUGAGGUAAAAGCUUAUCCAAGACUGAGAUGGGUAGCUGGUCUGAGAGGACGGCCAGCCACACUGGAACUGAAACACGGUCCAGACUCCUACGGGAGGCAGCAGUUGGGAAUAUUGCGCAAUGGAGGCAACUCUGACGCAGCGACGCCGCGUGAGCGAAGAAGGCCU
rnacentral:rRNA from 1 species